CUUCUGUAUACUGGUUGGACAAUUUUGAAAACCGCUAUUAAAAUCAUUGAAAAUGGAUCCGCUACGCUCAAAAUUGAUACUUUGAAAGACAACUCGUUAGAUGCUCCAAAAGUCCCAAGCAGAUUAAAAUCAGGAAGAUUUUUCUUUACUUUUGAAAAAUGAAUUCAGUACAAACGGAAAUUUCGGGGCGAAAAGAUUACUGUGAAUUGGAUACAGACUCAUACGAUGAUUCGCAAGCUGCCCCAAAUUUCGAUGUAGUUGAGGAGACUUGAUCGAGUUCUCAAACCUAAGAAUCAAGAAAAAAUCCAAAUGCAGGUAUCAUACGACGAUGCCAAUUUUGGUUUUACUUAGUGCGGUGAUUGUUUAUAGAUGCUAAAUUUUGUGGGUGGGCUUGUCUUUUCUUGUAACUGAUAGUUCCGCAAAGGAAUUGAACGAGAAUACUGAGGAAGACCCUGAUGUUAUCGAGAUGAUUCUGCCAUGGUUCGAUGAGAAAGUAUCAGAAAAGUUAUGAAACUGUUCAAAAAUGCAUUUUCUGUUUUAUUUAUUCUUUAUAAGACUUGAACUUUAUUUCAUGCGCACGCAUAAUUAUAGAAUAACGCAGUAAAGUUGUCAUUGUGUGUGUGUGAAAUGAGUUGUCUAAACUGGGUGUGUGUUUUGCUAUGGGACGAGGUGGUAUAAUUGAGAAACUAAAAGUGGAUCAAUGCAAAGUUUAUUUGAGGAAGCACAGCAGGCAAUAGAAAUACCCUUAUACAGCGGAUUAAGAAACAUCUCGAGUAAUUUUCUUCCUCUCUUAUAUUUGAACCUCGAAUUUAUUGGUUUGGUAUUUAUUUAUCUCCUUAUAAUAAUUAAUGCUUGUGUUAUUUUCAGUGUUGUUGAUGAUGGUGUGGAGAAAAAGUAAUCGGCCUCUCUUUUUGUUUUAAUUGCAGAGGUAGAACAUUUUAGCAUUUGUGCUUGGUGAUAUCCUUUCUUAUUUCAUUCCUUUGACUUCCAUAUUUGAAGUUUCAAUCAAUGUUCUAAUACUCAAUAUCCAUAUCCGGGUAGCAAGAAUCGAAAACCAGAACAAACGCAAGAAGUCAUCAGAUUCUAUACCAAUGAACCCAGAGAAACAAGAAAACCAACCUCAGAAGCAGCAGCAGGAGAGAGAAUGCUGCCCAUGAAGAGCAGUAGCAUUCCGCAGCAGCUAGAAAGUAUGCUUGGAAAACCGAAUAAUCUUUGGUGUUGGUCAUUUUAGAGAUAUAGAACAGUGAAUGCAGUGAUGAGACAACAAUGGAUGUGUUGAUCCUUCACGAUUUUUG
rnacentral:lncRNA from 1 species